rnacentral:lncRNA from 1 species
UUACAUCUUUCUAAAUGCCUUUUUAAAGUACUCGUCCCUUGUGAACCUCUACAUUUAUAAAUCUUUCCACAGUAUUUGCAAGUAGCUUCCCUAUUCUUUUUAUCCUCCCAAUUCAACCUAUCAAAAAGUAUUUACAAGUAGCUUCCCUAUUCUUUUUAUCCUCCCAAUUCAACCUAUCAAAAUGUUCCCACACAACUGAAGUUCCAGUUCAACCUAUCAAAAUGUUCCCACACAACUGGAGUUCCAGGCAUACCUUGUGUACCCACUUGAAUAUUGGAUGAAGGAGGUGCAUUGCUCUCUUCGCCAUCAUCCAUGGUCUCUACUUGAUUAGAUUGAUUAUAUUAUAUCUGCAAAAAACAAUGAGGGAAUAUGGAUGAACAAAGUACUACAAAUCUUGUUUGCAAGUGCUUAAAUAUACAAAACUGACAAAAAAUUGAAGGAACCAGAACGAUGAUUAUAGUACUACAGAUCUUCCAUAUACUCACUCAAAAAUCGAAGAAAACAGUCUAUAGCUUUCCAGCCCUCCUAGCUAGAAACAUGUAUAACCCAGCGAAACCAGUUUCUAGGCAGAUAAUCUUAUCAGAACUUCUGGUGCUACUUUUACAUACUAGAAUAAUCUAUUAUACCAAACACCACCUUGCUGCUUAGAAAAUCAACUAAUUAAGGCUGCUUGGUUGCUGAGGAAAAAAUAGGUGGAAAAUUAGGGGAAAACAGAUUCUAGCUAGCUUUGUAGUCUUCUUAGCUAGUAACAUUUAUACAAAGCAAAACAUCAAUCGGACAGAAUUCAAUUCACAUCCAAGGGAGAUAAAGAUUAGAUUUACCAAAGUAGUGUGGUCUGAGUUUUCAUAAGAGCAUCUAUAGCUUCAUUCUCUGUGUCUUCAUUUCACCCAGAAAUCCAAUCCUCUCCACGAGUAGUAGUAGCAAAGCCAAAAACGGUUAUGAUAUGUGGUAAGUGAGAAGUGGUUGACUGCUGGAAACAAUGAUGAUAGAGAAAUGAGCUAGCUGUUCUUCUUCACUCAGAAGAGAAGCACCCACCUUCCCUUACAUGCCAAACAAAUUGAAAGUAGGGAGAGAGGUUAGUACCUGGGUCGUCGUCGUUGUAGCUAGAUCAUUGUCGUCAGUUAGGGGAGAGAAUGAAUUCAGGGAGAAAAUGGCUCUAUUGGCGGAGGUGGGUGGCGGUGGUGGAUAUCGUCCGAUGGGGAUUUGAAGGAGGAAGAAGGAGUUGGUUUGAGGUCUAACUUCUGAGUUCUGAGGAUGCAGGAGCCUUGGCCCGAGAAGAGAGAGGGAUUGAGCACGGUCGCCGAGGCUGGGUUGAAAAUAAAUAUUGGGUUGGGUUAGGGUUCGGGUUUUUGUGGGUCAAAAUUUAAUAUGUCCAACCCUGUUUGGGUUAAAAAAUCUAGCUCGACUUGGCUCAUUAUUUUAUGAACUCGACCCAACUCAUUCGUGUUAGGCUGAGCCGAGUUGGGCCUACGGGUUAGUGGGUUAAAUUUACAACCCUACCCAACACCCAUAUGGGAGUUGCCAAGUGUAUUCCACAUUUGCAGCAUCUAUCAUGGCUGCAAAAUAAUGGAGAUAGAUUCAUGUAACAAGAUAAUGUUGUAAGCACAUAUUAGA